rnacentral:rRNA from 1 species
UGCAGUCGAGCGCGUCCUUCGGGGCGAGCGGCGGACGGGUGAGUAACGCGUGGAACGUGCCCUUCGGUGCGGAAUAUACCAGGGAAACUUGGGGCAAUACCGCAUACGGUCUACGGACGAAAGAUUUAUCGCCGAGGGAUCGGCCCGCGUUGGAUUAGGUAGUUGGUGGGGUAACGGCCUACCAAGCCGACGAUCCAUAGCUGGUUUGAGAGGAUGAUCAGCCACACUGGGACUGAGACACGGCCCAGACUCCUACGGGAGGCAGCAGUGGGGAAUCUUGGACAAUGGGGGAAACCCUGAUCCAGCCAUGCCGCGUGAGCGAUGAAGGCCUUAGGGUUGUAAAGCUCUUUCGCUGGGGAAGAUAAUGACGGUACCCAGUAAAGAAGCCCCGGCUAACUCCGUGCCAGCAGCCGCGGUAAUACGGAGGGGGCUAGCGUUGUUCGGAAUUACUGGGCGUAAAGCGCGCGUAGGCGGACUGGAAAGUUGGGGGUGAAAUCCCGGGGCUCAACCCCGGAACUGCCUCCAAAACUGUCAGUCUUGAGGUCGAGAGAGGUGAGUGGAAUUCCGAGUGUAGAGGUGAAAUUCGUAGAUAUUCGGAGGAACACCAGUGGCGAAGGCGGCUCACCGGCUCGAACCUGACGCUGAGGUGCGAAAGUGUGGGGAGCAAACAGGAUUAGAUACCCUGGUAGUCCACACCGUAAACGAUGAAUGCCAGACGUCGGGCAGCAUGCUGUUCGGUGUCACACCUAACGGAUUAAGCAUUCCGCC